rnacentral:snRNA from 1 species
AUACUUACCUGGCAGGGGAGACACCAUGAUCAAGAAGGCGGUUCACCCAGGGCGAGGCUUGUCCAUUGCACUCCGGCCAUGCUGACCCCCGCGAAUUCCCCAAAUGCGGGAAUCUCGACUGCAUAAUUUAUGGUAGUGGGGGACUGCGUUCGCGCUCUCCCCUG